AGGAGUAGGGAUUGAAAGGCCAAAUAUGUCUGAACAUCUAGGCAACCUGGGUCUCCAGCUCAUGAGAAAGAUAUCAAGACCUGGAUCCCAGUGAUGGAUACAUGAGACAAAGAUUAGGGAAUGCUGAAGAUGUGUUCCCAUGAGUUCCUGCCUCCUUGUACCCCACUGAGUGGAAUGUUAAAAAUACGGAGAAAGCAAUUUCUACAGAUGCAGUCCCACCUCUGGCCAUGGCCAAAAUUAGCUGGAUAAUUCUUUGAAUCUGGCUAAUGUGGAAUCUUGCAAGGACAAAGAGGAUUUGCUCACGAACUGGGAAGAAUUAUCAUACCAAAUCAAUGAGGAUAUUUGCUGCCAAAGGCUUAGGCAUGGAGGCCAACUGGAUUCUCAUCCAUGACCCUGAUAGGACAUCCUGAACCCCAUUUAUGUUGUUUUAAGAGUGAUUCCAUAACCUCAAGAGAUUGGAAGGAAAUGGGGCUAUAAUGCCACUGGGCCCUGCUUUCAGCCAGCAGAGGUAGUUGGUGUUGAUUCCUUCCCACUGAAGGCUCUUCCUCCACAUUUAGGAAGGACAUAGCAAACUGGAGCAUGACCAGAAGUACACAAUGGAUGCUAUUGACUGAAUAUUUGUGUUCUCUUCCACAAAUUCAUGUAUUGAUAUCUAAAUCUCUACCGUGAUGGUGUUUGGAAAUGGGACAUUUGGGAGGUAAUCAGGUCACGAGAGUAAAUCCCUCAUGAAUGGGGUUAGUACCCUUAUAAAAAGAGGCAUAUGAGAGAUAAUCUCACUCUCUGCCAUGUGAGGCUACAACAAGAAGACAGCCUUGUGCAAACCAGGAACCAGGCCUUCACCAGACAUUGGAUCUGCAAGUACCUUGAUCGGAAGUUCCAGCCUCCAGAACUGCGAGAAAUAAAUGUUUGGUGUUUAAGCCACCCAUUCUACGGUAAUUUGUUAUGGUAGCCCAACAUGACUAGGAAAAUGGGAAUAGUGAAGAAUGAAAACAAUCUAAGAGAAAUUGUUGGAGAAUCUGGUGAUUUUCGGACUGCAGAAGAGAAUACUUAAGGGUGGUAUAAGCAGUGUCUUCAAAUAUGUAAAGAGCUGUCACAUGGAAGAGGGAUAGCAUUGGUAUAUAUCAUCCCAGAAGGCAGAAUUUUC
rnacentral:lncRNA from 1 species